UGAAAAUUAUGUGUAUGUAUAAAAAUUAUUCGCAUAUAACCGUCUAUACAUAGUCCUACGUACGUAAGUAACACGUACACGUUUGUAUACCGGAUUCCGACUAACGAAGCUGCUUUUGACCCGUUCAACACAUGUUCUCAUUACACGGUAUUGUUGCGUGGAUCUUUCAUCUCUUACAUGCGUACAGUACAUAAGACGUACACCACGCGAUAUGGUGUGGACAAACAUGAAAACACCGCACACGAUGGACGAUCUAUUUUAUGCGAACGCGCCGGCGAAUAGGCCCCAAGCUUUUGCUUCACGUACGUACGUACGCAUUCGUAUACCCUCUUGCGCAAAUAUUGUACAUACAUCAUUUACCUAUACGGGGAGAUGUGUGUGUAAUAUGUACACAUAACUUCUACCCCAAUAGCGUAAAGAUGUGCGGAUUCGAAUGUGUACGUGUAGGCACAUACGUUAAGUACACACAAUUCCACCCCCCCGCGGGGGAUAAGCGUAAUAUACAAACCACUGUUUACUCAUAACUUUUGAUCCUCUUCUCGCUCAUUUUUCAAGUACGUAUGUCACCCCGUAUCAUAUAAACAUACGUAUGUGCAGCGUACGUAUACGAUUACGUAUCGCGAUUGAUUAGCGAUAUCUCAUUAUCGAUCCGAUUAAUUAAUGGCAUGGCAUAGGGCGCAUUUCGCUGCCGUAUUUUGAUGAUAAAAAUUUCGAUGCUCCUGAUGAUUGAUUUAAUCAGACGGUGUGAAUACGCGUUCGAUGGAUUUCUGAAUACACUUUAUACCGAUAGAAAAAAUGUUCUCCGGUGUAGAGUACCGGUCGUUGUGUAUAGAAAAUUUGAAGAGUUCCAUAAAUAUGUAGUGGUCGCACAAGUGAUAUUAACGACUUUUCAAGCAGCUGACAAAGCGAAUAAUCUAGCGCUGCAGUAGGUAGAUAUAGCGGGCGUACAGUGGUGCAUCGUAUUCAACGAUUUUCACGUAAUCGUAUACUAAAAGCGCAACGCCAAGUUAUACGUGGGGUAAAGUUAGCGAUCACGUAGCGUGUUUUACAGUGCAGCAAGUGAACGUGCGGUUAAAGGAGUUAUCAUAGUUAUUAUAUAAUUUACGCACCUCCAAUUAACAGAGCUUGGUUAGGUACGUGAUGUAGAAUCGAGGAAAAUGGAUGGGAGGGCGUUUCAAAGCUGACGCGGCAACGCAAAAGCCGUCUCAACUUUCAUGAUCACUUCGACUUUCAAAAAGCGGCUUCCAUCAGGCGCAGUUGCAGCCCACGUAAUGUACGUAACUAACAAAUAAAGAACAACAAAGAACAAUAGAAAAAAGCUGCGUCAAACUUCCACCAAGCUUCAGCUCGUUUCCUGGCACUAAAUACACACAAGUUCCGUGUGUACCAACGACAUAAAGAGCAAUUUGUUAAAAAGAACCCGUUUGUCGCGAUGCACUCAGCACCCGCACCUCCACCCUCCACCUCUCUACCCCAUUUACCACCCCCUACCCUGUUCUUUUUAAGCCAGCUCGUGUGCCGCCUACAAGCCAUUGCACCAAGUGUCGUUGCAGGUUGUAACAACGUGAUAAUUGUAAAAGAAUUCUGGCUCCCUUAAUGGCUGCGAAUUAAAAUCAUGUUUUACAUUAUGCAACAUCACAAACUGCACGCAGCUGCAUUCCUUUGAUGUAUUGAUAUUUACACAUUCUUCAUUUGCCUGGUCAGAAUUACGUUCCCCCCACUUCAUCUCUGCAUUUUGUCGUAAUAAAAAAUACAAGAAAAUGCGAAGAUAGAGAAGGAAAUAGCUUGUGAAAGCAGCGGAAAGUGUUUUAGCUAAUGCAAUGAGGCUUACCAAGCCUAAUGAUACCGUCGUGGUGCUGCUAGUUUAUGUUGAAUUACAGUACUCAUCGGGUAUAAUCAGUCAGCUAAUAUUAUUGUAGACACGGUCUAAACCGGCCUGACUUUCAAGUAUGAAUUAUUGAUCAAGCUGCAGAAAAAUCAACGAUGGUGAAUGUUACUGUCAUAGCUAUAGAUGGUAAUCUGUGCAACAAGCAAAAACUAAAACAAAUAUAUGUAUUUCACAAUUACAGAAAGAAGCAGUCAGUUUGUACUUGGAACUGAUAAAAGGCGGACUCGAUCAAAGAAAAUGUGUGACUUAAAACUUGUUGCUGCAAUGUAUGAAACAUUAUCUAACAGAGCACUGGAUACAAGCCCUUUUAAAAUAAGAACGUGUUAUCUCGAUCUCCAAAAAUAGAAGGCAUAUGAGCUGGGCAAAGGUUUUAGUAACAGCACGUUGAAUAAAAUCGAAUUAAUAUCGACUUGGACUGCACUAAAAAAAUACAUCUUUUUCCUCUGUUAUCUCCUUGGAGCUCAUCGCCUAUCUGUACAGGACAAUGUUUAACAGACAAGCGAAUGACACUGAGUCAUGUCAAUAUAUAAAACCCAUUGAAAAAUCCCCGAACACCGUUCAACAAAAAAUUCUCUGAGACCCUGUCAGAGGAUAUGAAAAACCACAGAUGGCAGGCUAAUUGGUAGGUGGCUGAUGAGUAUGAUUCUAAUUUAUCAACGACAGUGAUUGUGGUCAAGAUUAAAAGCUGGCUAUUCAACUUUAAACAACACAAGCCUGAUGCCAAUAAACAAGCAUUAUUCACUCUUA